rnacentral:rRNA from 1 species
GAUGAACGCUGGCGGCGUGCCUAAUACAUGCAAGUCGAGCGAACGGACGAGAAGCUUGCUUCUCUGAUGUUAGCGGCGGACGGGUGAGUAACACGUGGAUAACCUACCUAUAAGACUGGGAUAACUUCGGGAAACCGGAGCUAAUACCGGAUGAUAUUUUGAACCGCAUGGUUCAAAAGUGAAAGACGGUCUUGCUGUCACUUAUAGAUGGAUCCGCGCUGCAUUAGCUAGUUGGUAAGGUAACGGCUUACCAAGGCAACGAUGCAUAGCCGACCUGAGAGGGUGAUCGGCCACACUGGAACUGGGACACGGUCCAGCCUCCUACGGGAGGCAGCAGUAGGGAAUCUUCCGCAAUGGGCGAAAGCCUGACGGAGCAACGCCGCGUGAGUGAUGAAGGUCUUCGGAUCGUAAAACUCUGUUAUUAGGGAAGAACAUAUGUGUAAGUAACUGUGCACCUCUUGACGGUACCUAAUCAGAAAGCCACGGCUAACUACGUG